rnacentral:rRNA from 1 species
UACGGGGGGGGCAAGCGUUGUUCGGAAUCACUGGGCGUAAAGGGCGCGUAGGUGGCGCUCCAAGUCCGUGGUGAAAGCUCGAUGCUCAACAUCGAGUCGGCCACGGAGACUGGAGGGCUCGAGCACUGUAGGGGCAGAUGGAAUUCCGGGUGUAGCGGUGGAAUGCGUAGAGAUCCGGAAGAACACCGGUGGCGAAGGCGGUCUGCUGGGCAGUUGCUGACACUGAGGCGCGACAGCGUGGGGAGCAAACAGG